AAGGCAGGCCGGCAGGAUUCUGGAGACUAAAUAAACAGCACUAGGUCGGUGGCAGCGCACAGCAGCUCUGGUUUCCUAGUGGCCUUUGGCGAACGAACAAAGGGUGCAGAAAAAUGUCCCUCUGCGGACUUCUCAUUCCAGAGGUCCAGUGACAUCGCGGGAGGAAGAAGCAUUUGCUUCCCUGUGUCCUGCUGUGAGUGAGUUGCUCAGCCAUUCCCUGGAGGUACUUCCCUUGGCACAGUCACCUGGCUGACUUGUUUGGCAUCGAAGAUAAGCAGUCCUCCCAAAACGCACUUUCAAGAGUGAAAAAGCAUUAUUCACAAGAGCCAAGCUGUGAAAACAACCGAAGUGUCCAUC